CUGGCUCAGAACGAACGCUGGCGGCGCGUCUUAAGCAUGCAAGUCGAACGGCAAGGAUGGUAGCUUGCUACCAUCCCUAGAGUGGCGGACUGGUGAGUAACACGUGGGUGACCUACCCUGAGAUGGGGAUAGCCAUUAGAAAUAGUGGAUAAUACCGAAUACGCUCUACGGACUCUGGUUUGUAGAGGAAACAGGCUACGGCCUGGCUCGAGGAUGGGCCCGCGUCCCAUUAGCUAGUUGGUGAGGUAAGAGCCCACCAAGGCGACGAUGGGUAUCCGGCCUGAGGGGGUGUACGGACACAUUGGGACUGAGAUACGGCCCAAACUCCUACGGGAGGCAGCAGCUAAGAAUAUUCCGCAAUGGACGAGAGUCUGACGGAGCGACGCCGCGUGGGAAUGACGAAGGCCGAAAGGUUGUAAAAUCCUUUUGCUGAUGAAGAAUAAGCGUGGUAGGGAAUGACCGCGUGAUGACAUUAGUCGGUGAAUAAGCCCCGGCUAACUACGUGCCAGCCGCCGC
rnacentral:rRNA from 1 species